rnacentral:rRNA from 1 species
UACGUAGGGUGCAAGCGUUGUCCGGAAUUAUUGGGCGUAAAGAGCUCGUAGGCGGUUUGUUGCGUCGGCUGUGAAAUCCCGAGGCUCAACCUCGGGUCUGCAGUCGAUACGAGCAAACUAGAGUGUUGCAGGGGAGACUGGAAUUCCUGGUGUAGCGGUGAAAUGCGCAGAUAUCAGGAGGAACACCGGUGGCGAAGGCGGGGUCUCUGGGCAACAACUGACGCUGAGGAGCGAAAAGCCGUGGGGGAGCGAACAGGG